GAUGAACGCUGGCGGCGUGCUUAACACAUGCAAGUCGAACGGAAAGGCUCCUGCUUGCAGGGGUACUCGAGUGGCGAACGGGUGAGUAACACGUGGGUGAUCUGCCCUGCACUUCGAGAUAAGCCUGGGAAACUGGGUCUAAUACCGGAUAGGACGAUGGUUUGGAUGCCAUUGUGGAAAGUUUUUCGGUGUGGGAUGAGCUCGCGGCCUAUCAGCUUGUUGGUGGGGUAAUGGCCUACCAAGGCGUCGACGGGUAGCCGGCCUGAGAGGGUGUACGGCCACAUUGGGACUGAGAUACGGCCCAGACUCCUACGGGAGGCAGCAGUGGGGAAUAUUGCACAAUGGGCGCAAGCCUGAUGCAGCGACGCCGCGUGGGGGAUGACGGCCUUCGGGUUGUAAACUCCUUUCGCUAGGGACGAAGCGCAAGUGACGGUACCUGGAGAAGAAGCACCGGCUAACUACGUG
rnacentral:rRNA from 1 species